rnacentral:rRNA from 1 species
AACGAAGCGAAUAAGAGCGAACGGAGGAUGCCUCAGGCUUCAGUCGACGAGGAAGGACGUGGUAAGCUGCGAAAAGCUGCGGGGAGCUGCAAACAGGCUUCGAUCCGCAGAUGUCCGAAUGGGGCAACCCGAGCAGUUGAAGGCUGCUCACAUAUCUUUGAUAUGAGUCAACGCAGGGAACUGAAACAUCUUAGUACCUGCAGGAAGAGAAAGAAAGCAUCGAUUUCCGGAGUAGUGGCGAGCGAAAUGGAAAGAGCCUAAACCGGUAUUGUUACGGCAAUGCCGGGGUUGUAGGAGUCGGCAUCGAGUGUAUUGACCGAACCGGAAGUGUCUGGAAAGUCACACCAUAGACAGUGAUAGUCUGGUACGGGCAAGGGAGAUGCACAAGCCGGCCACCUGAGUAGGGCGGGACACGAGGAAUCCUGUCUGAAUCCGCGGGGACCAUCCCGCAAGGCUAAAUACGAACUGAAGACCGAUAGUGUACCAGUACAGUGAGGGAAAGGUGAAAAGAACCCCGAACAGGGGAGUGAAAGAGAACCUGAAACCGUUCGUUUACAAGCUGUCGGAGCGGAGAAAUCCGCGACGGCGUGCCUUUUGCAUAAUGAGCCUACGAGUUGCAUCAGUACAGCAAGGUUAAGUCCUUCAGGGACAGGAGCCGCAGCGAAAGCGAGUCUGACAAGGGCGUUGAGUUGUAUUGAGCAGACGCGAAACCUAGUGAUCUACCCAUGGCCAGGGUGAAGUUGCCGUAACAGGCAAUGGAGGCCCGAACCAGUUUCCGUUGAAAAGGAUUUGGAUGAGCUGUGGGUAGGAGUGAAAGGCCAAUCAAACUGGGAGAUAGCUCGUACUCCCCGAAAUGUCUUUAGGGACAGCCUCGGUAUAGAUUCGCGGAGGUAGAGCGACUGAUAGGAUGCGAGGGCUUCACCGCCUAUCAAUUCCUGACAAACUCCGAAUGCCGCGAAUUGGUUGCCGGGAGUGAGUA